rnacentral:rRNA from 1 species
AUUGAACGCUGGCGGAAUGCUUUACACAUGCAAGUCGAACGGUAGAGGGGGCAACCCCUCGAGAGUGGCGAACGGGUGAGUAAUAUAUUGGAACGUGCCCAGUCGUGGGGGAUAACGUAGCGAAAGUUACGCUAAUACCGCAUACGAUCUAAGGAUGAAAGCGGGGGAUCGCAAGACCUCGCGCGAUUGGAGCGGCCGAGAUCAGAUUAGGUAGUUGGUGGGGGAAAGACACACCAAGCCAACGAACUGUAGCUGGUCUGAGAGGACGACCAGCCACACUGGAACUGAGAAACGGUCCAGACUCCUACGGGAGGCAGCAGUGGGGAAUUAUGGACAAUGGACGCAAGUCUGAUCCAGCCAUUCCGCGUGCAGGAUGAAGACCCUCGGGUUGUAAACUGCUUUUGUACGGAACGAAAAGGUCUCUCUUAAUACGGGGGGCUCAUGACGGUACCGUAAGAAUAAGCACCGGCUAACUACGUGCCAGCCGCCGCGGUAA